CCAUUAAGGGAUCUCAAUCAGCUAGAAACAUGUGCAACGCGCCAUCCCCCAGGGCCCCUUUGACGUCCCAGGUGUAGUAGGAAUGCAGAGUGGUGUAGUGCGGCCUAAAUUUCUCUUUAUGUGUCACGGUGCUCCUACCUGGAU